AGCGAACGCUGGCGGCAGGCCUAACACAUGCAAGUCGAACGACCCCUUCGGGGUGAGUGGCGGACGGGUGAGUAACACGAGGGAACGUGCCUUUAGGUUCGGAAUAACUCAGGGAAACUUGUGCUAAUCCCGAAUGUGCCCUUCGGGGGAAAGAUUUAUCGCCUUUAGAGCGGCCCGCGUCUGAUUAGCUAGUUGGUGAGGUAAUGGCUCACCAAGGCUACGAUCAGUAGCUGGUCUGAGAGGAUGACCAGCCACAUUGGGACUGAGACACGGCCCAAACUCCUACGGGAGGCAGCAGUGGGGAAUCUUGCGCAAUGGGCGAAAGCCUGACGCAGCCAUGCCGCGUGGAUGAUGAAGGUCUUAGGAUUGUAAAAUCCUUUCACCAGUGAAGAUAAUGACUGUAGCCGGAGAAGAAGCCCCGGCUAACUUCGUGCCAGCAGCCGCCGUAACAC
rnacentral:rRNA from 1 species